rnacentral:rRNA from 1 species
UACGUAGGGCGCAAGCGUUAUCCGGAAUUAUUGGGCGUAAAGAGCUCGUAGGCGGUUUGUCGCGUCUGCCGUGAAAGUCCGGGGCUCAACUCCGGAUCUGCGGUGGGUACGGGCAGACUGGAGUGAUGUAGGGGAGACUGGAAUUCCUGGUGUAGCGGUGAAAUGCGCAGAUAUCAGGAGGAACACCAAUGGCGAAGGCAGAUCUCUGGGCCGUAACUGACGCUGAGGAGCGAAAGCAUGGGGAGCGAACAGG